AUUGAACGCUGGCGGCAUGCCUUACACAUGCAAGUCGAACGGCAGCACGGGUGCUUGCCCCUGGUGGCGAGUGGCGAACGGGUGAGUAAUACAUCGGAACAUGUCCUGUAGUGGGGGAUAGCCCGGCGAAAGCCGGAUUAAUACCGCAUACGAUCUACGGAUGAAAGCGGGGGACCUUCGGGCCUCGCGCUAUAGGGUUGGCCGAUGGCUGAUUAGCUAGUUGGUGGGGUAAAGGCCUACCAAGGCGACGAUCAGUAGCUGGUCUGAGAGGACGACCAGCCACACUGGGACUGAGACACGGCCCAGACUCCUACGGGAGGCAGCAGUGGGGAAUUUUGGACAAUGGGCGAAAGCCUGAUCCAGCAAUGCCGCGGGUGUGAAGAAGGCCUUCGGGUUGUAAAGCACUUUUGUCCGGAAAGAAAUCCUUGGCCCUAAUACGGUCGGGGGAUGACGGUACCGGAAGAAUAAGCACCGGCUAACUACGUGC
rnacentral:rRNA from 1 species